UCGCCCCGCACCUGCUGAACUGGAGCACCCGAGGAUGUCUGCGCUGAGGAAGGCCUUCCCACCAUCCGAGGCCCGGCCGUAGCAGCCCGGUUUCCCAGCAGCUGCCUGUGAACACCUGUCUCGCACCGGCUCCGCCACCAUGGGGACUGCUCAGGUUUUGCCCGGCAUUCUGCAGAAGCAUUGCUGUAUAUUACCAGACAGGAACACAGACGGCUGUUCCCACAUAGGCAACAAUUGAG